rnacentral:ncRNA from 1 species
CUUUCUGAGGAGGGUAUAAAAGGGAAUCCGGUGAUGAAUCCGGAACAGUGCCCGCUACUGUAAAGCUCCUCUCCACUUUAUUAUAUAGGAGAGCUAAACGAGAGAUCCAUUCUACUACAUGCCACUGUCUGCGCGGAUGCGGAAAGACGGGAAGGCUGUUCUCUCGCCGAGCCAAGUCAGGAAACCUGCCAGGCAGAUU